ACAAAAUAAAUAAAUAAAUAAAUAAAACACUUAAAAUGCAGCUGGAGAUGCGCGCGCGUGUGUGAUCUACUUCUUAAAAGGGAUUAUUGCAAAAAUAUAUAUAGUGCCCUAUAUAUAUAAUCAGAACAAUAAUUCCAAGUAAUUGUUUUAGGCAACAUAUUUAUAUUUUUCAGGUCAAAGGUGCUCAACCUUUAAAAGAAACGCCUAUCCUUUUUAUUGUCCGUGCCAGGAAGGUCUUGAUUGCCAUGCUAUUAAUCUGAGUGGGGAGAGCAUAAAUCUUGGACAUUGUAGAAAGCCUGAAAGCAAGUAAUGAUAUCUUUGUUAGAACUGUAAAAUGUUGCUCACGAGGUUAUGGGAAAUACAACAUGUUUAAUUUGAUACAUAAUAAAUUAUUAAAUAAUGUAUUAAAAAUGUGUUUUCUUGA